GCGGAUCAGAAUUGAGAGCCCCGAAUUUCAAAUUAGCGGGAUUUUUAUUGUGGUUACAGCAAGCAAGAAAAUAGAGUGAAUAUUUACCUUCCGGCGGGUGGAGGAAGGAGCUUCGAAAACAUACACAAGGAAGAAAGCCACAGAGGGGAACAUAGUUAAAUUUACCUCUAUGAAAAUAUAAAUCUUCAAUGAGUUAAAAAAAA